ensembl:lncRNA
UGAUGAUCCAACGGACGUUGGCAAUUUGAUCUCUUUUUAGGUAUCAUUUACGUUUUUAGCAAGAGUCAGACUGAUACUGCCACAUCUUUCUUGGAGACUUUUCCACGGUUUAACUAUAAGUAUUCUCAAAAAUGACUGUCACCCAUUUGAUGUUCCUAUUGCUCUCCUUAGUUGCUGUGUUCAUGUGAGAUAAAGGAAUGCAGCAGAUAUAAAAGAAGUGGUUACUAUUUUCAGUGAAUAGUGUCUGAUGUGUGAUUUUUGAAAGAAAUCAAAAUUUUCCUUAGUAAGAAGCAGUCUUGUAAACAUUUACUGGAAUCUGACUAAUGCUGGACUGAUCAACGUUAUGAGAGGGAACCAAAAAGAACUGUCCUGAAGCAGAUUAUGAGAAGCCUCCUGCAGGAAGCAAAAUCUUCCACCCCAAAAUCAGCGAGAGAAAGUAGUUUUGGAGUUGGUUCCUGGAUCUUAGCAAUGCCGAACAUAAUUGUCACUAUUGGUCACAUUACCAAGGCUUUGACUGAAAUGCCACAUUUGAGAGAAGAAUGCAUGGACUCAGAUAUGACCAGUCAACUUUAAGGAACUAAGGAUGACUUUAUGGAGCCAAAUUUCCCCUUGGAAAAAACAUGCAGUGGUAUCCUUACAGGAUUCCCAGUAGCCUUACCAGAAUCAUAGAAAAUUGAAGACCCCCUUAUCCUGAAGCCCUGAAAACUGAAGCUGGACUGCAUGAUAUAAACUUAAGAGAGAGCACCACAAUAGCCCAUGUUUUGACAAUCUGUGCCUUUUGCUGUGUACUCAGCUCAGAAAGUUUAUCCUAACAUCAAUGACAUCACGAGAGACAUUCAAACUACAGACCAGGAAAUUAUGUCAGAUGGUCACUUUCUACCCUCACUUCAUCUCAAGAUGCUUCAAGCCUGACAUCUAGAAAUGUUCUUGAUUGAGAGUUCUCAGGACUCCGACAAUGGAUUAUAAUUUGCUCCAAUCACUAACUGUUGUUUUUCUUUGGUUUUCGUAGAAACGCAUCUUUUUAAAAUUUGCUUGCACCUUAUAGGCCUAGCUUUGGAAGCCACCUGACUCAUAGCCUCCUGAAACGAAUAUAAUUGUAUCGAUUCAUUAUCAGGACUAUGGGGCUGACUUAGUGAGGUGGAACAAUCUACCAACUCAGCUUCUGGACUGUGAGGCUUCUUGGAGAAGUUUCAAAGGCAGGACUGUAAAGGAGCAAAAUUUGGCACCACAAAAUAUAUCUUUUUGGCAUGAGGAUUAAUUUAUGCUAAUUAUUUUUAAGAAACAGAGGACUCAGUAAAUCUUUCUUUUUACCUCUCUCUUAAAUGCUUACAGAAUUUGGAUCAAAGAAUAGUUCCAUCACCUGGGAUGGAGAUGCUGUGGUAUGCUGUGGUGGGGGAACCAGCAGGUUAGAGUCCACUCUGUAUCCCGGGGUCUCUGCAGGGAGCAGAAAACACCUGCUCUAUCAUCUCCAUGUGAACUGCCUUCCUGCCAGCUGAAGUCCCAAACUCCUACCCCAACACCCUCUUUUGCUGUUAGCUGAAGAUUGCAUUUAAGGUGAGGAUUUCAGCCUUUUCAGCCAGUUACUUAGUUUUCUUGGGUCUCUGCUAUGUACUUAUAAGUUAAUCCUCAGGCCAGCCAGACCUAGAAAGUUGGAAGGAAAUACUUCCUUCCCAACAAUUCUGUAGCUUGGCUGUCGACAGGUGUACAGGUUAUGCAAUGCCAUCUUUCCAUGUGUGCUCACUUGUGUCUAACUCUUUG